rnacentral:rRNA from 1 species
UAAUGCAUCGGAACCGUACCUCGUAGUGGGGGAUAACUCGGCGAAAGCCGUGCUAAUACCGCAUAUGCUCUACGGAGGAAAGCAGGGGACCUUAACGGGCCUUGUGCUAUGGGAGCGGCCGAUGUCCGAUUAGCUAGUUGGUGGGGUAAUGGCCUACCAAGGCGACGAUCGGUAGCUGGUCUGAGAGGAUGAUCAGCCACACUGGGACUGCGACACGGCCCAG